rfam:Lactobacillus kimchicus JCM 15530 Scaffold45, whole genome shotgun sequence.
UAAAAUGAGAGUUUGAUCCUGGCUCAGGACGAACGCUGGCGGCGUGCCUAAUACAUGCAAGUCGAACGCAUCCCGUUGAAUUGAAGUGCUUGC